rnacentral:rRNA from 1 species
UGGGGAAUAUUGGACAAUGGGCGCAAGCCUGAUCCAGCCAUACCGCGUGGGUGAAGAAGGCCUUCGGGUUGUAAAGCACUUUAAGUUGGGAGGAAGGGCAGUUACCUAAUACGUAAUUGUUUUGACGUUACCGACAGAAUAAGCACCGGCUAACUCUGUGCCAGCAGCCGCGGUAAUACAGAGGGUGCAAGCGUUAAUCGGAAUUACUGGGCGUAAAGCGCGCGUAGGUGGUUCGUUAAGUUGGAUGUGAAAUCCCCGGGCUCAACCUGGGAACUGCAUUCAAAACUGUCGAGCUAGAGUAUGGUAGAGGGUGGUGGAAUUUCCUGUGUAGCGGUGAAAUGCGUAGAUAUAGGAAGGAACACCAGUGGCGAAGGCGACCACCUGGACUGAUACUGACACUGAGGUGCGAAAGCGUGGGGAGCAAACA